ACGCCCUAAACGAUGAUCAUUAGCUGAUGGAGAAUUCAUCGGCGCAGCUAACGCAUUAAAUGAUCCGCCUGAGUAGUACGUUCGCAAGAAUAAAACUUAAAGGAAUUGACGGGGAUCCGCACAAGCGGUGGAGCAUGUGGUUUAAUUUGAAGAUACGCGUAGAACCUUACCCACUCUUGACAUCUUCUGCAAUGCUAUGGAGACAUAGCGGAGGUUAACAGAAUGACAGAUGGUGCAUGGCUGUCGUCAG
rnacentral:rRNA from 1 species